rnacentral:rRNA from 1 species
GCGGGCUACUGCAAGUCGAGGCAGCACAGUAAGAGCUUGCUCUUAUGGGUGGCGAGUGGCGGACGGGUGAGGAAUACAUCGAAUCUACCUUUUCGUGGGGGAUAACGUAGGGAAACUUACGCUAAUACCGCAUACCACCUUCGGGUGAAAGCGGGGGACCUUCGGGCCUUGCGCGGAUAUAUGACCCGAUGUCAGAUUAUCUAGUUGGCGGGGUAAGGGCCCACCAGGGCGACUAUCCGUAUCUGGUCUGAGAGGAUGAUCACCCACACUGGAACUGACACACGGUCCACACUCCUACGGGAGGCAGCAGUGGGGAAUAUUGGACAAUGGGCGCAAGCCUGAUCCACCCAUACCGCGUGGGUGAAAAACGCCUUCGGGUUGUAAAGCCCUUUUGUUGGGAAAGAAAAGCAAUCUAUUAAUACUCGUUUGUUCUGACGGUA